AUUGAACGCUGGCGGCAUGCCUUACACAUGCAAGUCGAACGGUAGCAGGUCUUCGGAUGCUGACGAGUGGCGAACGGGUGAGUAAUACAUCGGAACGUGCCUAGUAGUGGGGGAUAACUACUCGAAAGAGUGGCUAAUACCGCAUGAGAUCUACGGAUGAAAGCAGGGGAUCGCAAGACCUUGUGCUACUAGAGCGGCCGAUGGCAGAUAAGGUAGUUGGUGGGAUAAAAGCUGACCAAGCCGACGAUCUGUAGCUGGUCUGAGAGGACGAUCAGCCACACUGGGACUGAGACACGGCCCAGACUCCUACGGGAGGCAGCAGUGGGGAAGUUGGGACAAUGGGCGAAAGCCUUAUCCAGCAAUGCCGCGUGCAGGAUGAAGGCCUUCGGGUUGUAAACUGCUUUUGUACGGAACGAAAAGCCCCAGGUUAAUACCCUGGGGUCAUGACGGUACCGUAAGAAUAAGCACCGGCUAACUACGUGCCAGCCGCCGCCGUAA
rnacentral:rRNA from 1 species